rnacentral:ncRNA from 2 species
AUAUGGCAUAAUAUAGUUUGUUACGCAGAGGAACGGAGUUUAAAUCUCCGGCUGCCCCGCAACGGUGAUGCCGUAAGGCUAAGCCCGGUCUACUGCAAACCCGGUCAUAAGACU